UACGUAGGGUGCAAGCGUUGUCUGGAAUUAUUGGGCGUAAAGAGCUUGUAGGCGGUUUGUCGCGUCUGCUGUGAAAAUCCGGGGCUCAACCCCGGACUUGCAGUGGGUACGGGCAGACUAGAGUGUGGUAGGGGAGACUGGAAUUCCUGGUGUAGCGGUGAAAUGCGCAGAUAUCAGGAGGAACACCGAUGGCGAAGGCAGGUCUCUGGGCCACUACUGACGCUGAGAAGCGAAAGCAUGGGGGAGCGAACAGG
rnacentral:rRNA from 1 species